GUGCUCGCUUCAGUAGCACAUAUACUAAAAUUGGAGUGAAACAGAGAUUAGCAUGGCCCCUGCGCAAGGAUGACAUGCAAAUUCAUGAAGCAUUCCAUGUUUUU
rnacentral:snRNA from 1 species